AUACGGAGGGUGCGAGCGUUAAUCGGAAUUACUGGGCGUAAAGCGUGCGUAGGCGGUUUGCUAAGUCAGAUGUGAAAGCCCCGGGCUUAACCUGGGAACUGCAUUUGAUACUGGCAGACUAGAGUAUGAUAGAGGGGGGUAGAAUUCCUGGUGUAGCGGUGAAAUGCAUAGAUAUCAGGAGGAAUACCAGUGGCGAAGGCGGCCCCCUGGAUCAAUACUGACGCUGAGGUACGAAAGCGUGGGGAGCGAACAGGAUUAGAAACCCGGGUAGUCC
rnacentral:rRNA from 1 species